UGAAAAAAAAGACUCAUGACAACUGGCUCAGGACUUGUGCCGUGGACAGGGCAGUGGCAGAAGAAAUCAGGGAGGCCACCUACUUGAAGGAACGUUUGACAAUAAGGCAAUAUUGGAGGCUGCCCAAAGGACACAGGCUGCAUCCAGCACCAGGGGGAUCCAGCAUGG